GACGAACGCUGGCGGCGUGCUUAACACAUGCAAGUCGAACGGAAAGGCCCUGCUUUUGUUGGUUGCUCGAUUGGCGAACGGGUGAGUAACACGUGAGUAACCUGCCCUUGACUUUGUGAUAACUUCAGGAAACUGGGGCUAAUACCGGAUAUGAUCUCCUGCUGCAUGUUGUGGGUUGGAAAGUUUCGGCGGUUGGGGAUGUACUCGCGGCUUAUCAGCUUGUUGGUGGGGUAGUGGCUUACCAAGGCUUUGACGGAUAGCCUGCCUGAGAGGGUGACCGGGCACAUGGGGACUGAGAGACGCAGCAGAAUCCAACGGGAGGCAGCAGUGGGGAAUAUUGCACAAUGGGCGGAAGCCUGAGGCAGAAACGCCGCGUGCGGGAUGACGGCCUUCGGGUUGUAAACCGCUUUCGCCUGUGACGAAGCGUGAGUGACGGUAAUGGGUAAAGAAGCACCGGCUAACUACGUG
rnacentral:rRNA from 1 species